rnacentral:rRNA from 1 species
AUUGAACGCUGGCGGCAGGCCUAACACAUGCAAGUCGAGCGGAUGAAGGGAGCUUGCUCCUGGAUUCAGCGGCAGACGGGUGAGUAAUGCCUAGGAAUCUGCCUGGUAGUGGGGGAUAACGUCCGGAAACGGGCGCUAAUACCGCAUACGUCCUGAGGGAGAAAGUGGGGGAUCUUCGGACCUCACGCUAUCAGAUGAGCCUAGGUCGGAUUAGCUAGUUGGUGGGGUAAAGGCCUACCAAGGCGACGAUCCGUAACUGGUCUGAGAGGAUGAUCAGUCACACUGGAACUGAGACACGGUCCAGACUCCUACGGGAGGCAGCAGUGGGGAAUAUUGGGCAAUGGGCGAAAGCCUGAUCCAGCCAUGCCGCGUGUGUGAAGAAGGUCUUCGGAUUGUAAAGCACUUUAAGUUGGGAGGAAGGGCAGUAAGUUAAUACCUUGCUGUUUUGACGUUACCAACAGAAUAAGCACCGGCUAACUUCGUG